UGCCCGGACUCGCUCAGAAGCAGCAUCGUGAAGACUGGUUCCCAGUGCACUCGUGGGGUUUUUCCUGCCUGUCCAUCGCUUGUGCAGUGGAGUUCCUGUUGCCGGAUGGCAGCAGUGUGUGGGAC